AUAUUUCGGAACUGAGUCUAGUUCCUUCGAUAUCAAUGUAAGAUAUGACAUUUUUUGUGUGUGUUGGUGUAAUGUACAUUGAUAUCAAAGGAACUAUAGACUUAGUUCCGAAAUAU